rnacentral:rRNA from 1 species
AUUCCUACGGGAGGCAGCAGUGGGGAAUAUUGCACAAUGGGCGCAAGCCUGAUGCAGCAACGCCGCGUGAGGGACGAAGGCCUUCGGGUUGUAAACCUCUUUUAGUAGGGAAGAAGCGACUGGGUUUUCCUGGGAGUGACGGUACCUGCAGAAAAAGCACCGGCUAACUACGUGCCAGCAGCCGCGGUAAUACGUAGGGUGCAAGCGUUGUCCGGAAUUAUUGGGCGUAAAGAGCUCGUAGGCGGUUUGUCGCGUCUGCUGUGAAAACCCGAGGCUCAACCUCGGGCCUGCAGUGGGUACGGGCAGACUAGAGUGCGGUAGGGGAGAUUGGAAUUCCUGGUGUAGCGGUGGAAUGCGCAGAUAUCAGGAGGAACACCAAUGGCGAAGGCAGAUCUCUGGGCCGUAACUGACGCUGAGGAGCGAAAGCAUGGGGAGCGAACAGGAUUAGAUACCCUGGUAGUCCAUGCCGUAAACGUUGGGAACUAGAUGUGGGGACCAUUCCACGGUCUCCGUGUCGCAGCUAACGCAUUAAGUUCCCCGCCUGGGGAGUACGGCCGCAAGGCUAAAACUCAAAGGAAUUGACGGGGGCCCGCACAAGCGGCGGAGCAUGCGGAUUAAUUCGAUGCAACGCGAAGAACCUUACCAAGGCUUGACAUAUACCGGAAACGGCUGGAAACAGUCGCCCCGCAAGGUCGGUAUACAGGUGGUGCAUGGUUGUCGUCAGCUCGUGUCGUGAGAUGUUGGGUUAAGUCCCGCAACGAGCGCAACCCUCGUCCUAUGUUGCCAGCACGUAAUGGUGGGAACUCAUGGGAUACUGCCGGGGUCAACUCGGAGGAAGGUGGGGAUGACGUCAAAUCAUCAUGCCCCUUAUGUCUUGGGCUUCACGCAUGCUACAAUGGCCGGUACAAAGGGCUGCGAUACCGCAAGGUGGAGCGAAUCCCAAAAACCCGGUCUCAGUUCGGAUCGAGGUCUGCAACUCGACCUCAUGAAGUGGGAG